rnacentral:rRNA from 1 species
GACAGAGGGCGCGAGCGUUACCCGGAUUUACUGGGCGUAAAGGGCGUGUAGGCGGCUUGGGGCGUCCCAUGUGAAAGGCCACGGCUCAACCGUGGAGGAGCGUGGGAUACGCUCAGGCUAGACGGUGGGAGAGGGUGGUGGAAUUCCCGGAGUAGCGGUGAAAUGCGCAGAUACCGGGAGGAACGCCGAUGGCGAAGGCAGCCACCUGGCUCACUUGUGACGCUGAGGAGCGAAAGCGUGGGGAGCAAACCGG